GAUGAAGAACGUAGCGAAAUGCGAUACGUAAUGUGAAUUGCAGAAUUCAGUGAAUCAUCGAAUCUUUGAACGCAUAUUGCGCUCUUUGGUAUUCCGAAGAGCAUGCUUGUUUGAGUAUCAGUAAACACCUCAACCUCUUCUUGAUUUUUCAAAAGGAGGGUGGACUUGAGCUAUCCCAACAACCUUUACCGGUCGGCGGGCGGCUUGAAAUGCAGGUACAGCUGGACUUUUAUCUGAGCUAAAAGCAUAUCUAUUUAGUCCUCGUCAAACAGGAUUAUUACUUUUGCUGCAGCUAACAUAAAGGAUAAUUGUCCUCUUUGCUGACUGAUGCAGGAUUUUACGACACUUUAUGUGUUGUUCAACUCGAUCUCAAAUCAAGUAAGACUACCCGCUGAACUUAAGCAUAUCAAUAAGCGGAGGA
rnacentral:misc_RNA from 1 species